AGAUCAGUGGCAGCUUAUCCCGCUUUCAGCUGUCACAGCUGUGCCUCUUCACUCUUCUUCUAGCCCUAUCACACUCCCUGGCAGCCUUUAAAGUACCUCCUUCCCUGUGGAAUUUCUGCAAAUCAUUUACUCAAAUGCCAAGAUACCAUAGAAGCAGCUGUUUCUGAGAAAAUUUGUUCAGGCUUACAUAUUUGUUGUGAUGAAGAAUAUUGCAUUAAAGAAUCCUUUGCUGCUGCACUAGGAAGCAUGCUGUGCUCUACCCUGAAGAGAGGGUUAAACAAUGGUUCUGAGGGGCAGGUGCACCCCUUAGUCAAGAACUUUCAACCCUGGCUCAUGCAGUGACACAGUUUGCAAACCUGCUGGCUAAUUCUCCAAAACAAUUUGAUAGUGCUCCUUCAAUAUUAAAUAGAACACGAGGAUGGCUGCUGAUGAAAGAUAACAACAGCUGAAGGAGGCAGUGCAAAUGGAAGUCAACUACCAUCUUCAGCUCAGCAGAUUAAGACUUCCUUGAAUAGUAUGCAAGAAAAUUAUGAAGAUUCCUUCAAAGCAUGAUUUCCGUGGUGACUGCAGAAGCAGGACAGUGCCUGUGGGACAUGGAUUUAGAAACUCCAAAGUGGUGCAAAGAACUGACAAGCCUGAGCAACUGAAGAGUUGAGGCAGCCGCUUACAGAACCACAAUGUGGGUAACACCACAGUCUGAUGAAGAACAGAGAAACUCUCAUUUGUUUUCAACUAAUGAGCUAAAGAAGCUGAACUAUCAAUUAUGUAAGACCAUAUAAUUUUUAACAUUUCAAAGCACCUGAGGAUCUUUACCUCUUUAUUUUGGUCUCAGGCUAACCACAAACAAUCCUGUACUGGUAAUUUUGGAUGUCGGUGUUUUGUGGAAAACUACCCCUCAUUAUCGUUUGUGGGUGCUAAUAUCUCAUAACUUACUACAGCAAUAAGUAAAAUCUUUGUUAGGCUGACUGGAUUAAAGUAAUUUGUUGAUGUUCAAG